ACUUGUCUUCUCCAUUCAGCAAAUUCUUUUGUUUUUAUUUGUUACUCUCAUGAUGGAUUUGUCUGUCUGUUGAGAUAAAUUUAUGCGUUGAGUCUAAAUCUAUGAAGACUUCUUUGUAUUUCCAUUUUUAUAAUCAGUUUUGUUUUUCAAUUUUCUAUAUUGUUGGCACUUGGCAGAUGAUUAAUUAUCACUUUUGUUCUUUUGUUCUUCUGAGAUUAGUUCCCGAUUAAUUCCCUUCCAAUCAAUGGAGACUUGGAUUUCAAUUUUUUUUUUGGUUAUUUAUAGUACGCUCUCGGUUCUUGAAAUAUAGUCCCAUUUUGAUAAAUGGAUUCACUUUCUAGUAAUAUUAUAAAAUUAAUAUAAAUGUGAUAUUUUUUUCAAUCCAUUUUUUUUUCACAUAUCAUAAAAUUCGUGCGGACAAUCUUUCAUAGAUGAUGUAUUAUUUAUAAUCGCUAUUCAGAAAAUAACGCCUUUUUUUCACCAGGCCCAAAUGUGUCGGCCCAUCUAACGUUAAAUUCAGAAUGUUACUAUAGUCUACGAAUACACACGCCCUUUUUUAGAGUUUAUCAUUCCUUUCUUAUUUUAUUAAUCCUAAUUUUUUUAAUUCCAGCUGUAAAUAUUUUCGCGCGGAAAUGUUAUGUUCAAUUCUGCAAUUUGUGAUCGGAGGCCUUGUCUCUAUAAAUAGAAGCGAAUCUUCUUCGCACAGAAAUAGGCGCUGAGUUCACUCUCAUCAGCGCUCUCAAUGGAGCUCCUCAAUAUACUGCUAAAUUGUAUACUUGCUGCAGACUCAUACCUAAUAGAGGUAGAGGAAGAGGAGGAAGAGGAGGUGGUGAAGACUUAAAAACUAUGCUGUACGAAAUCGUGAGUGAUGACUUUUAUGCGGCUCAUCUUGAAGCUCAUAACGGCGAUCGAGUGUUUUUCCGUGCUGCUGCUGCCGCCAGACAAGUUCACUUCCGUUUUCUACCUGCGGAGGAGGAGAAUGCUCCGCCGCCGCCGAUCAUAUAGAUUCUCUAAUUUCUACUCUUCAUUCUCUAAUUUCUUAAUUCGUUCAAUUUCCACUGAUUCUGUUGCUAAUGAAGCAUUUAUUCUGCCGAUCCGCUUACUUUUUCCAUUGCUGUUCACUCUGCUGUUACCUUCACAUGCUGUUGCUGAUGUUCAUACAGCUAAUCUGCUGCUGGUAAUUCCUCUGUUCAUAUCCAACAUUUUGUACCUGAUGAUCUUCAUGCUCUGUACUUGCAUCGAUUAUUUUGCUCUGCCGAGAGAUUGAAAACUGUAGUCAUAUACUUCAUCUCUCUCUAGUCUUCAUAAUUGCAAUUUCACUUGCUAUUGUCUGCUCAUUUCAGAUAUUGAUAACUAAUUCUGUCUACUUUAACAAAUUUUUUUAAUGUUUUCAUCAUUUCUCAUGUUAAAAUCUGUGAUGAAUUCUAUUCCUUAUGUUUGAGGUGGUUAUUAAUGCUUUAGUUGUUAAUAGGUAUCAGAAUUUUAAGUCAUUUCCAAUCUGUUGAACUUGUGUUAUGUUCCAAUUUAGACAAAUAUUAGUAUUUCACAUACUCUCUACAAAAUUAGAUUUGUCAAACUUUUAAUAUUUAGUUUUACUCUUUAUUCUCAUAUCUGCCUUGCUUAGUUAUAUUGUUCAUUAGGUUAGUUGUAUACAUUUUGCUAAUUUUGUGGGCUAAUAUUUUGUUUUCUUGGUGUGUUUGUAUAUCUGUUCAUUUUCUCGAUUAGAUUAUGUGUAAAAAUAUAUUGGUAUGGUUUAGUAUAUUUGAAAAAUUAGCUGGGUAUUGUUUUAGUUUAAUACUAGCACGGAUUGAAAUUCUAGUUACAAUGUUGUCUUCUUGGUGUGUUUGUAACUUCUAAUGUGGUUCAUUGUUAAUUUUUUGUAUGUGGCAUAAGAUUUAUUUGUCUUAGAAAAUUGUUUUAGAACACUGAAAAGGUUUAGAUGCUUGAAUUGUACUUAGCACAACAUUGAAAAUUUCAAAGUUACCUGCUACAGGAUUGUGAAUUCUAUAGCUUUAUUCUCACAAUAGAAGAAAAUAGAUUUAAAAAUAUUCUUCUGUAUUUCUAUUAAUUUCUUUUAAUUUGCCUGAUAUUGUUUUUAAAACCUGAUUAUAAAAUUCGCAAUUUGUAUAUUUUUGUUUGUCGUCUGACUUGUAAUAUUUUGGUUGGUGUAUGUGCAAAUUUGCUUAUACUAAUUUUUCGUUUAAUAUAGGAAUUAAGAUUUUUUGUUACAAAUAUAUUGUACUACGUUUUAAGCGUUAUGAACUGGGCACAGUUUAUUGAACUACUAGUAGUACUACGUUUUUAGUUUAUGGAAUUAGUUUUGUUUUUUAAGAAAAUUAUUGAAAUUUUUUAAAUUAUCACAAUAAAAUAUUGAUUUUAGAAUGUUAUUCCUUAUUGAUUUUAUUUUUAUUAGUGUGGUUAUAUUCUCUCAACUUGAUUACUUUAUUGUAAUACCGCAAUUUUAUUACUAUUACUAUUAUGUAUAUGCCUAAUAUGAUGCAAGUAUGUUAGUGCAUAUACGCAUUUGUUUUUUCAUUAUUAGGUGCAUGCCACCAUCAACGCAUUUGUUUUUUUGAAAAGGAUAUUAGUAAUUCUAGGCCACAUACGCAUUUUUUGUGUUAAACUUUUAUUAUUAUUUAGCUUAAUUUUAUUGUUCAUGUGUUUUUGGUUGAUAUUUUGCAUUGAUUGUAUAUUUUUUGCUAAUUUUGUUAGUGUAUAAUUGUCUUCUUGGUGUGUUUGUAUAUAUGUUCAUUUUCUGGUUUAGAUUAUUUUAAAAUUUAGCUAGGUGUGGUUUAUAAUGGUCUGAAAUAGUACGCCAUGUUGUCUUCUUUGUGUGUUUGUAUAUCUGUUAAUUUUUAAUGUGGUUCAUUGAUAAAUUUUGCUACUAUUUUUUUUGUUUGUGGUAUUGGAUUUUUUUGUCUAACUAAAUAAUUGUUUUAUAAUGCUGAAAAUUUGCUGAAAAGUUUUUGAUGCUCGAAUAUUGUUAUGUUUUUGUUUCUUGUCUGUCUUGUACUAAUAUUUUAGUUGGUGUUUAUGCAUAUUUGGUUAUCGAUUUUUGUUUAAUAAGUACUAUAAUGAUUUGUUCGAUUUGUUAUAAAACUUGGCACAUUUGCAUUGAACUACUAGUAUGCAUUUAGCUUGUGCAAUUAGUUUUAUUUUUUUAGGAAAACAGUUGAUAUAUAAUGCUGAAAAAGUUAUUCAAAAAUUUUAGGUGUUCAAUUUAUAUCGUUCGUAGAAUUAUGUUUAUCAAUUGUGAAUCCACCCACUUUAUUAAUUUUAUUUUUAUUAGUAUGUUUAUAUUCUUAGAACUUGAUAAAAAAAAUUUCAUAGUGCAAUUUUAUUCUUGUAUGCAUGAAGUAAAUAUUUUAUUCCAUAAAUUGUGAAGUACUAUUAUGUUUGUAUAGAUUGAUUAAUUUAAUAUUUAAAAAGAAAUUACGGAAUUAUUUUGAAAUUUGUUUUAAGAAAUCCUGACCCUUUUGGCCAUAUACACAUUUUGUUAUGAUUAUUGACAUUAGUGCCUAUUGGAUUCUACAUUAGUAACUUUAUUCAUAAUAAAUUGAUGCAUAUUCAUUUUAAAUCAGAAUUAAUUUUGAAAACUUUUACCUUGUACAGAAUCGUGAAUACUAUAGAUUUAUUUUCACAAUAAAAGAAAUUAGGUUUAAGAAUAUUCUUCCGUAUUAUUAAUUUCUUUUAAUUUGUAUGUUUUUGUUUUGUAACAUGAUAAAAUUGGCUAAUUUGUAUGUCAAUUCGCAAUUUGUAUGCUUGUAUGUUUUUGUUUGUCGUCCGUCUUGUGUAGAAGUAAUAUUUUAGUUGGUGGCAUUUUGGGCAUAUUUGGUUAUAGAUUUUUGUUUAAUGUACAUAUUAUGGUUUUUUUUUGUUAUUUUUGUUAUGAAUAUACUGUAGUACUAGGUUAUACGGAGUAUUUAUCAAGCGUUAUAAAGAUAGUCACAUUUGUAUUGAACUUCUAGAAUGUUUAUACUUUGCUGAUAAAUUAUUGAAAAAUUUAAUGCUCAAAUUGUAUCAUUUGUUGGAAAUUCUAUAAACUUACCUUCUUCAAAAUUUUGAAUUCAUCCGCUUUAUUAUCACAACAAGAAAUUGAUUUGAGAAUGUUCGUCCUUAUUAAUUUUAUUUUUAGUACUC